rnacentral:rRNA from 1 species
UGGCGACCGGCGUACGGGUGGAGUAACGCGUAUCCAACCUGCCCUUUACUAUGGGACAGCCCGUCGAAAGGCGGAUUAAUACCGUAUGUUGUCAUGUUGAUGCAUAUUUUCAUGACCAAAGGCUUCGGCCGGUAAAGGAUGGGGAUGCGUCUGAUUAGCUUGCCGGCGGGGUAACGGCCCACCGGGGCGACGAUCAGUAGGGGUUCUGAGAGGAAGGUCCCCCACAUUGGAACUGAGACACGGUCCAAACUCCUACGGGAGGCAGCAG